AGUGAACGCUGGCGGUAGGCCUAACACAUGCCAGUCGAACGGCAGCACAGUAAGAGCUUGCUCUUACGGGUGGCGAGUGGCGGACGAGUGAGGAAUACAUCGGAAUCUACUUUUUCGUGGGGGAUAACGUAGGGAAACUUACGCUAAUACCGCAUACGACCUACGGGUGAAAGCAGGGGAUCUUCGGACCUUGCGCGAUUGAAUGAGCCGAUGUCGGAUUAGCUAGUUGGCGGGGUAAAGGCCCACCAAGGCGACGAUCCGUAGCUGGUCUGAGAGGAUGAUCAGCCACACUGGAACUGAGACACGGUCCAGACUCCUACGGGAGGCAGCAGUGGGGAAUAUUGGACAAUGGGCGCAAGCCUGAUCCAGCCAUACCGCGUGGGUGAAGAAGGCCUUCGGGUUGUAAAGCCCUUUUGUUGGGAAAGAAAAGCAGCAGGUUAAUACCCCGCUGUUCUGACGGUACCCAAAGAAUAAGCACCGGCGAACUUCGU
rnacentral:rRNA from 1 species